UCUGUUUUAUGUCAUGGUGAGUUUCCGUGAACACUGUGAUGAGCGGGUCCCUUUAAAUGUUGUCACUGCAAUGAAUUGUGGGUCGUCAUUAUGUGGUCUCCUUUGGUAAAGGAUUCAUCAGUGUUUCCUAGGCUAAAGGAGGUUAUAAAGGAUGCAUUGAGCCUCCUUUCCAUAGCUUAAAGAGAAUUGGAACGCUCCUUAUCAUGGCCGCCACUUAAACACUUUCAGAGUAAAGGAAAAGUGGAUAAGAAAGGAGAUAGGAGGGACUAUUAGGACACAGCCUGUAUCUGCUCACUGAUUGGUUGUCCUCAGGAUGAACACUCGGGGGGGGUCGUCCUUCAGCAGUCCCACGGGGACGCCCACCUGUGGCCGUAGAGUCCGUCAACUUCCUGUUGUUCCUCGUAAAGCUGCUUCAGACAGAUUUUUGGCCACACCCACUUCAGGAGCGUUACUGACGUCUCCUACAAUGAUGCACCAAAGCCUUUCUCCACUUAACCAGAGAACACUAUCUCCUGUCAAUCACUACACACAAGCCCCGCCCCCUGCCAUUACAACCACACCUGAAACUACACCUGCACCUCCAGCUGUUGCUACAGCUGUUCCCACACCUGUACAUCAACUUCCUCCUAUGCCUGCGUUUGUUUCUCCAGCUUUAACUCCAUCACCUGCAGUGCACUGCACACCUGCACCUCCAGCUGCUUCAACACCUGCACCUCCAGCUGCUUCAACACCUGCACCUCCAGCUGCUUCAACACCUGCACCUCCAGCUGCACCUGCACCUCCAGCUGCUUCAACACCUGCACCUCCAGCUGCACCUGCACCUCCAGCUGUUCCAGCAGCUGUUCCUCCCUCUCCUCAGCAGUGCCAUGAAUCUUUACCAUCACCUGUUUCUGCUGAAGCUCCGCCUUCACCUGCACCAUCACCGGCUCCGCCCCCUCAGACUCCAGAGCCGGACCGUCGUUCAGCGACUCCUGGAGGAAGCAGGAAAGGUACGUUUGUUCUUGUCUGA
rnacentral:lncRNA from 1 species